rnacentral:rRNA from 1 species
UAGGGGAGCCGUAGGGAAACCGAGUCUUAACCGGGCGUUAAGUUGCAGGGUAUAGACCCGAAACCCGGUGAUCUAGCCAUGGGCAGGUUGAAGGUUGGGUAACACUAACUGGAGGACCGAACCGACUAAUGUUGAAAAAUUAGCGGAUGACCUGUGGCUGGGGGUGAAAGGCCAAUCAAACCGGGAGAUAGCUGGUUCUCCCCGAAAGCUAUUUAGGUAGCGCCUCGUGAAUUCAUCUCCGGGGGUAGAGCACUGUUUCGGCUAGGGGGCCAUCCCGGCUUACCAACCCGAUGCAAACUGCGAAUACCGGAGAAUGUUAUCACGGGAGACACACGGCGGGUGCUAACGUCCGUCGUGAAGAGGGAAACAACCCAGACCGCCAGCUAAGGUCCCAAAGUCAUGGUUAAGUGGGAAACGAUGUGGGAAGGCCCAGACAGCCAGGAUGUUGGCUUAGAAGCAGCCAUCAUUUAAAGAAAGCGUAAUAGCUCACUGGUCGAGUCGGCCUGCGCGGAAGAUGUAACGGGGCUAAACCAU